GACGAACGCUGGCGGCGUGCUUAACACAUGCAAGUCGAGCGGAGCGGCGAACGGGUGAGUAACGCGUGAGUAACUGCCCCCCUCUCUGGGAUAACAGUUGGAAACGGCUGCUAAUACCGGAUAGUGGGGGAUGGCUCGCGGCCUAUGAGCUUGUUGGAGGGGUAGUGGCCUACCAAGGCGACGACGGGUAGCCGGACUGGGAGGGCGACCGGCCACAUUGGCCAGGGAUACCGCCCAAACGCAUACGGGAGGCAGCAGUGGGGGAUAUUGGACGAUAGGGGAAGCCCUGAUGCAGCAACGCCGCGUGGGGGAUGACGGCCAUCGGGUUGUAAGCCGCUUUCAGUCAUAAGCGGUAGUGGCAGAAGAAGCACCGGCUAACUACGUGCCAGCAGCCGCGGUAAUUC
rnacentral:rRNA from 1 species